rnacentral:misc_RNA from 1 species
CCAUCCUCACUCCCUCAGCCGCCGACACACAGCGAGGACGUCUCCAUCUGUUGCUAUGGCGGCCCCGGGCUCCUUGUGUCUCCUGGCAUGUGUUCUGGCCCUCAUCUCGACCUUAGGUUGUGGGAGCUACAUCAUCACUACGCCGCGUAUGUGGGUAGCCGGAUCUCCUGCCCAGGUGUGUGUGUACGUGAGUGACCCUUCAGCUCCGGCAGGUAGACUCACUAUCGCCCUCACCACCCGAGAUUGGCACAUGCAGAAGGAGGAACAGAAUGUCACCAUCAUUCCAAACACCACCAUUCAGAUCCCGGCAGGAAAGACAGAAUCAUGUUCGUACGAGGUGCCAGUGCCCAAUACGGACUAUUACCGCUGUCAGCUCCACGUAUUUGGCACAGUGGCAGGGGUCAAGAUCAACCGCACCGAGGAAAUGAGGUUGAAGAGUACUGACAAGCUCACCAUCAUCCACACAGACAAAUACCUGUAUAAACCUGGUCAAAAUGUCAAGUUCAGGAUCAUGACCGUAGAUGGACCUUACCUGCGUGUCUCCUCUGACCCUUACCGAGAAGUCUGGGUCAGAACGCCCUCCCGGACCCGCAUCGCCCAGUGGAAGAACGUGGACAACACCGCUGGGUUGGUCCACCUUGACUUCGAUCUGGCCGACGAACCCGAGAUGGGUAUGUAUCGCAUCCAGGUGAAGACAACGGGCGGUAAAACAAUACGACGGGAAUUCAAGGUGGAUGAGUUUGUGUUGCCACGUUUUGAGGUGACCAUCAAGAAGCCGAGCUAUAUACUGGCUACAGACGAUCGGUUCACCUUUACCGUGUGUGCCAACUAUGUUUACGGGCAGCCAGUCAAAGGCAACUUACAGGUGACUUUCACUAAUGGCGAGAGGGAGAAGUGCAAAGCUGAGGUUAUUCGGAACGUUACCAUCUCAGGGUGCAAGGAAGUGGAAAUAACGAACGAAGAUAUGAACAUCAUUGACUGCAAUGUGUACAGUGUGGUGGCGGACGCGAAGGUCACUGAGGAAGGUACUGGCAUCGAGAUGAAGUCAUUUAGUCGGGUUACCAUCACACGUACUGCCGUAUCCUUCAAAACUCUUUACGAAGAUCAAUACGUGAAGCCAAAUCUUCCUUUUACUCUUAAGCUGAGAGCAGAACUGCCAGAUGGUUCUCCCGCAGUUGGUGUCCCUAUGGAAGUGUGUGCAGCUGGUCGGUGUACCAACAUGACCACAGCUCCUGACGGUCUCUUCACUACAGUCUUACCAUCGUACAAGACCAACAGAGUUUUUAUGAAGACCCUCAACUGCCGGGCUCGCAUGCGUCAGUCUGAGUACUCUAAAGAUCUGGAGCACUAUUACUCCCCCUCCAACUCCUCCCUGGUGAUCCACGCCCCCGAGGGUAAACUGAAGUGUGUGUCUGGACAAACUCAGCAACACGCCCUACCUGUGCUCUUCUCUGCCAGGAACCAAGACUCGGCGGUCUUCACUGUACAGAUCGUGUCACGCGGGUUAACUCAACACUGGAGUAGCCAGGAGUAUCAGCUGAUUGGCGGAGACCUGCCCAUCAGCGUAGAGCACCUGGUGGAGCCUCUGCCUCCUCCUAUUGAGGGCACCGUCAGGGGAGUCGUCAACAUCAACAUCAACCUUCCCCCGACAGCCUCUCCCAGUGCCAAGGUGUUGGUGUGGUACACUCGUGAGGACGGGGAGGUGGUGGCAGACACCAGAGAGCUGGAGGUGGAGAAGUGUCUUGGUAGCAGCGCCAGUCUCACCUGGUCAGAGUCUCAGGCACAACCUGGACAACAGACCACUUUGACUCUCUCGUCAGAACCAAACUCCGUGUGUAGCCUCGGGGUGGUAGACAGGAGCACCGAGCUGUUGGCCUCUGACCCUGAACCCGCUACACUGGAUAAGCUGUUUGAGUUUGCCAAAGAAUUCGACAUUUCCAGUUGGAUUAACUCCCAGAUCGACACCUUCAAUUACUGCAUAAAUAAGAAAAACAGAGAGCAUGAAGAAAAGAUGGCUCGAAUGGCAACGGGAGAGCAUGUCAUUCCACCACCACUUCCAAUACACCCCAACUACUACAGCGACUACGUUGACGCUCUGGCGAUGUUUGACAAAUCUGGUUUAUACGUUUUCACCGACCUGACAGUGGAGACGAGGCCCUGCUCUGGAAGACUGGUCCACUCGUACACUCAUUCGACAAAUAGAGUGGCGGUCUACAACAUGCCGUCCCUGGCAGCCCCACCAGGCAUGCCGCGCCGACCUGUGAGCAGCCCCAGCCUAGUUUACGACUCCCCUUACGACGGGGAGGACAUGGGUGAGACGGUCAUAGAAUCAGUAGAGGCUCCCAGGACCGAAUUCCCUGAGACGUGGCUGUGGGACAUUGUCGUCCUUCCAUCGUCUGGGGUGAACAUCCAGGACCUGACACUGCCUGACACCAUCACACAGUGGGUGGGCAAGGCCGUGUGUGCCCACCCAGAGAAGGGCGUGGCACUGUCUGAGAGGGAGUCCAUCACUACCUUCACCCCCUUCUUCGUCGACCUCACCCUUCCCCCCACUGUCAAGCGUGGCGAGAUACUCCCCGUCAAGAUGUCCAUCUUCAACUACCUAGACCGACCAAUACCUGUAAGUGUUAGGGUGGAGACGAGUCCAGAAUACGAGUUAAUGGAGGGGUCAGGGACGCAAGGAGACCGUGGACGGCGUAGCUCAUGUCUACCAGCACAAGACAAGGUUGUCCACACAGUCAAGAUCAAGCCACUGGUGAUCGGUGAAGUCAACAUUACGGUGUCGGCGUUCGUGGACUACCAGUACCCUGAGCCAUGUGGGUCAGGCGACACCUCCAUCCACAGAAGUGACGCUCUGAUCAAGCCCAUCAAGGUUGAGGCUGAUGGAUUCCUAAGAGAGAAGACCUGGACCAAGUACAUCUGUUCUAAGGACUUCGUUACGGGAGAAGACUCACUGGAAGCGUGGAAUCUAGAGACGCCCUUGAUCAUCGUGGAGGGAUCAGAUCGAGCCUGGGUUACUGCCGUAGGUGAUCUCCUUGCCCUCUCACUCGAGAACCUGGGACACCUGAUCCGUAUGCCGUAUGGGUGUGGAGAGCAGAACAUGGUUAACUUCGCUCCCAACAUCUAUAUCAUGCGUUACCUCGAGGCAUCCAGUCAAACAAGCGAAGAAGCCAGCACCAAGCUCCUCACCUUCAUGAAACUCGGCUAUCAACGGGAGCUCCUGUACCGACGUAACGAUGGCUCCUACAGCGCCUUCGGGAACUCUGAUGAUUCUGGCUCUACCUGGCUGACGGCCUUCGUGCUCAAGUCCUUCGCCCAAGCUCAAAAUUAUAUCCAGAUUGACACGAAGGGUCUCAAUAAAACGACCAGUUGGCUUCUUGAGCAGCAGGGAAGUAAUGGCUGCUUCCGGUCUGUUGGUAAAGUGUUCAGCAAGUCCAUGAAGGGCGGUGUUGGCGAAAGUGACUCUCCUGUACCUCUGACGGCCUACGUGAUGAUCGCUCUGAUGGAAGCUGGUGACUUAUCUUGUAACCCCUUAUUCUGUCCAGCUGCCGAAUGCAUACAGGCCAGCACCUCCCAGGACCCCUACACCUUGGCUCUGAAAGCAUACGCCAUGGCCUUGGCUGGAUUGACUGAGGCCAAUACAGUUCUCCAGAACCUGCUUGGCCAAGCCAUCGUGGCCAAGAACUCCACCCACUGGGAGUUACCUAAAGGACCACGUAAAAGUCAAGCCGUGGAGGUGGAGAUAGCUGGGUAUGCUAUCAUGGCCAUGCUCACAAUUGAUGCAAAGAAAUACGAAGAGCAAGCGAGAAGGACGAUAAAAUGGGUCACAGCAAGAAGAAACGGCCAAGGAGGAUUCUUCUCUACGCAGGACACAGUGGUGGCCCUCCAGGCUCUGGCCAUGUAUGAGUCACACACGUACCAGGGCCCCUUGAAGGUGGUGGCAGCAGUGACAGCUACUGGGCUCUCCCAUUCCUUCACUGUCACAGACGACAACAAACUCCUGCAGCAGCUGGUAACACUGCCAACACUCCCCACCACCGUCUCUAUCACUAUGGAGGGCCAAGGAUGUGCUGUUCUCCAGGCUGUUCUUCGGUAUAAUAUUCCUGAGCCUGAAGGAAGUGAUGCCUUCAACCUGACUGUCAACACCAACACGGCUCCAGACAACAAGUGCGUCACCAAACGCAUCACGGCCUGUGCUUCCUAUCGCCUCCCUGAUGGCAAGUCUAACAUGGCUGUCAUCGAGGUGGACCUCAUCUCUGGUUACAUCCCUGAGAAAGAAGACCUGAAGAAACUUGUGAAUGACAACGUCAACAUAAAGCGUUAUGAGGUGGAUGGCAGCAAAGUUUCCUUCUACAUCGAAGAGUUAACUGCCCAAGACACCUGUGUAAACUUCCGUGCGAUACGAGUGGUUGACGUGGAGGAUGUGAAGCCUGGCACAGUGCGUGUUUACGACUACUACCAGCCUGAGUUCGAGAUAUCCAAGAGCUACACACUGCCGCCUCCAGAUGAGUGCAGUUAAGAUGAACGGACCAUUUUUGCUUCAACUGGGUCAUAUACACUCUGACGAUGGCCAUACCUGAAUACGUGGGCUCUGGAGGCUACCACUGAGGUCAUGCUUACUACUGUACCCAGAUCUGAGGUCACCAGCUGAAAGGGAAAGGUCACCAGCUGAAGGGGAAGGUCACCAGCUGAAAGGGGAAGGUCACCAGCUGAAGGGGAAGGUCACCAGCUGAAGGGGAAGGUCACCAGCUGAAUGAGAAGGUCACCAGCUGAAAGGGAAGGUCACCAGCUGAAGGGGAAGGUCACCAGCUGAAGGGGAAGGUCACCAGCCGACUGUGUGUGGGAAGAGAUCAUGAUUCACGUACUGUAUACAAGGGUAAAGACACCAGUAAAUGACCUUGAUUUAGUUGUUGUUGAAGAAAAUGGUGAAUAAGAACGAAUUCCAUCUCUGAAUUAAAUAUAUUAUAUCUCCGGUGUAAUCAUCUCAUGUACUGUUUAAAAAUAAAUAUUUUUUUAUUUGUGGACAAGAUUGUUAAGUAACAAACUGAGAAAAAAUAAAACCACAGCACAUU